AUCUUAACCCUCACAAUGCAGCUCGUAGACAAGUUGGUGUCGGUCCUAUGACAUGGGAUAAUAGGCUAGCAGCCUUUGCCCAAAAUUACGCCAAUCAAAGAGCUGGGGACUGCAGGAUGCAACACUCUGGUGGCCCUUACGGUGAAAACCUAGCUGCCGCUUUCCCCCAGCUCAACGCGGCUGGUGCUGUGAAGAUGUGGUUCGAUGAGAAGCAAUGGUACAAUUAUAAUUCAAAUACUUGUCAAGCGGGUAAAGUAUGUGGACACUAUACUCAGGUGGUGUGGCGUAACUCGGUACGUCUUGGUUGUGCUAGGGUCAGGUGCAACAACGGGUGGUAUUUUAUAACUUGUAAUUAUGAUCCACCAGGUAACUGGAGAGGACAACGUCCAUACGGUGAUCUUGAAAAUCAACCGGCUUUCGAUUCCAAGUUGGAACUUCCAACUGAUAUCUAAUUAUAAGUUUACAUGAUCAAAACAUGAAUGAAUAAAACGAUCAAAUGUUUAAGGAAAAUAAAAUCCAGGCUAUGCUUAUGUGAUGUUAUCUUAGGUAGUGACUGGGGAUUGGGGAAAAAUGUAGUCUAAACUUAUAUAUAUGCGUGCUUUUUUCUUGGUAUAUGUGUAUCACAGUGUAUAUUGUUUUACAGCUUUUUGUGGGCUUUAUUGGAUGUGUGUAUGUUGCAGCUUAUUGCUUUCGGCCUAAAUUCUGUACUAAUUCUGUUCGGCCCACGUUCUGUUAUUACUAAUUCUUAUGAAAUAAUUAAAUAUUACUUCAUUAAUUGAUCAUUUCAUACUAAAUUUGAAGUCAAAUACACCUAGAUACAUAUAUUUUUACUAUCAAAAUACACUUUAAAAUAUAAAUACAUAGGGAGAGAGGUGAGUAGGGGUGACAAUCAGACGGAUUGAGUCAAAUUUAGACGGGUCAAAUUAUGUCAAGAUCCAAUCCAACCCAAAUUUACUUGGGUCAAAACUGAUUUGGUAAUGAGUUCUAUAAUGGGUCAAAGACCCAACAUAACCCAAUUUUUACCAAGCCUAAUUAUUUUAGUAUUCUUUUAAAUAUGACUUGCAUAAAUCUCAUAGUGUAAGACCUAAAUUACAUUCUAUCCAUACUCUUUUCUAUUUUACAAAAAUUCCUUCAAAUAUCCGUCAUCCGGAUACAUUAAUUGUGAUACAUUAUACAACUAGUUUGUUGAGAUUAAAAAGGAAAUUAAACAUAAAAUUAAAUGUCAGUUCCCCAAAUCAUGCAAAUCAAAUUGAUAUUAAUCACUCCCAAAUAACAGCUCCAAACAAUUCAGAUUUCAAAUUUCUUCUCUCAAAUUCUCUCCCAAAUUGUAACAAAUUAAAAAAAAGUCGAUAAUUGCAUAUAGUUAUGUAACAUAUACAAAAAAAAAUUAUGAAUAUGAUAUAAAUUGAUUUAUUUAUAAAACAGUGUUGCAGAUACUUAACAACAUGCGAUUCAUCACAACAUCUAAUACAUAACUAUGUUAUACACAUAACAAACAUAUAUAUAAGGCCUAACCCAUUGAUGGCCCCAUAAAGUUGGCACAAUGUUUCACAUAGAUGUCUUAACUCGACGAUGUUCAUUUUAGACACCUCGUAUAGCGUCCCACUAAGUUAUUUUGACACUUUUCACUUACAUGGCAUAAUGAAGGUAAUACACUCACUGACUCGCACCUGAAAUGACUUUUUAGUUAAUUUUAAAGUAUUUUCUUCUUCUUCUUCUUCUUCCCCAUUUUCUGCCACCAUUUUGCCAAGUUAAAUUUCAUCCAUUAUAGAUGAAGGUUACAACUAAAAUGACGGAAAAUGUUUUUAAAUUGAAGAAUUUAAUAUGAAUCUCUUUUAACUAAGCAAUUUAUUUUUUUGAAAUAGCAAUGGUACUGUGCGGAUGUAGGUGGGGGUAGUUUCUGCAAAAGGGAUGGGGAGGUUUUUAUUUUUGGUAAUGAAAAUUUCAAAUGGUGCACACUAGGGUAUUUCGAGAAGAAAGGUGUGGGGUUUGGGUUUGGGGGUGGGGGUUAUUUACAGGUUGGGUUUUGGGGGCUUUGGAGAAGACGAUCGUCGGGGGGGGGGUUAUUUGGUUUUUAUUUAUUUUGUAAUUAUUUGGGGAAAAAUAUUAUGUGUCAUUAAUUCAUUGGUCAAUUUUUAUUUUUACUCAAAAUUAAUUAUUUAAUAAUUACUUUUGAUACAAAUCGUUUAAUUUGUCACUUUACACGUCAUUUGUGAGUGUAACACACAUAUUAUAUAUUUUUACUGAUAUUAAAAAAAGUGUCAAAAUGACAUAGCGGGACCCUACAUGAGGUGUCUAAACUAAAUAUCGCCUAAUUAAGGUGUCUAAGUGAAAACAUCGUGCCAACUUUAGGGGGUCACCGAUGGGUUAGGCCUAUUCACAACUAUGAAUAUGAUACAAUUUUGUUAUAAAACAUUAGUGUUUAUGUAUCAACAAUAAUAUUUUAUAGUGUCUACCGAUACAUAGCCUUCUACUAGUUGAAUAAGGUUGGGUGUAUGAGUCGGUAGUAAAAGAUAAAGAAAUUUGUAAUAUUUGUGUAUCCAAUACAUAGCUAUGAACAUGAUACAUAUUAAUUUGUGUUUCAAUAAAUUAGGGUUAUGUAUCAAAACUAAUAUUUGAAAAUGAUAUAUUGUACAUGAUAAAAUUGUAAUGUAUCAUAAAGGUGAAACGAACAAAUUAUACAUUAAUUUAAAAAUAAAAAUCAACUAGAUAUAUUAAAAGAUCUAAACUCAUAUGUAUGAGAAAAAGAUGAACAACAAAAAAUCGAAAAAAAUCAACAAUCUAAUUUGCUGAAAGCAAAAAAAUGAUGAAGAAGUCCUUCUACACUUUCUCUUUGCUCUACAUCAACUCCCGUAGCUUUUUUUUUCACUUUCAACAAUGACGUCACCCAUGGAUCUCGACCCAAAGCCCUUACCGGAGCCACCAACAACUCGACCUUUUCCUUUUUUUUGGGUGUUCUUUUCCCAAUCGAUUUUGAAAUUGAAGAUGCAUCCUUCUUCGAUUAAAUUUGUACAUGAAAAAGCUAAAAUAAAAUAAAAUUUGAUACCAAAUGAAGUAGAAAGAAAAAAAAAUUAGAUAAAGAAUAACUACCUCUUCAAUAACUUGCAAUUGAUGAAUCAGAAAGAUAAAAGAUCCGAAACUCAAAAAUAGACUGAUGGAGAUAAUUGAUGAUACGUGAAAGAAGGAUUUUUUUUUUUUGGAUGAUAGUUUACAGUGAUGUAUAUUAAAAAGUGAGAGAAAUUAUGGAAAAGAGAGAUUUUUGUAAUUUUUUGGAAUGGUAGUGAAUAAUAGAAAAUGGGAUAAAAAAUAAUGUGUAGUUUGGUAAUUAAUCCUUCUUUGAAAUUAUUUUAGAACCUAAUAAAAUUAUUUUUUCUUUAUUAUGGCUAUAUAUAUAUCAAAUUGAAAAAAAGUUUUUUUUUAAAUAAAUAAAUAUUUUGACUAGAUUGCUUAUGAACCAAUUUGGAUUACAUACCAGCCUAAUUUUUAAUGGAUUGAAAUAGAUUGAGCUAAUGAAUGAGCGUCAAUAACCCGCCAAAUUCAAAGGGGUUGGACGGGUUGGGUUUGGUUUUGUUACCUAUAGAGAGGUGUGUGAGAGAUGAGAAAGGAGAGCGAAAGAGUGUGUACCCCAGAUACAUGUAAAUAACACUAUAUACAUACAUGUAAAUAAUACUACAUAUAAGGUGGCGUACAUACACUAAUAAUAAUGUAUAAAAGUAUUUAUAGACGUUUAUACAUUAGUAUUUAUACGUAUAAGAUUGUUGUGAGGUUACAAAGAUGAUCGAUGGGCAGCCUAUUUUUCUUUCUUACAAAUAAAAAAUUGAUGAUGCUUCGAGAAGCACACAAUUAUUUAUUUAAUAAUUCGAAAAAUGUAUUGCUUCUAUGUAUUUAAUUAUUAUUAAUAAUAUUGUCGUGCUUCUCACGUGUUUAUAAAAAAAUGUUUGAAGGGUCAAAGUAGCACUCUCUACUCUGCUCCCCGUGAUCCUAAAUCUUAGUGAUUCACCACGUAUUAUUAUUAAUAUUAUUAUCAAAAACGAGAAGAAAUCGAUGACAUCCAUAAACGAUAAUGUGAAAAUAGUACUCUGUCCAUUUAAUAAUAAUUGUCUACUAUAUUAUUUUGGAAUGUUCAAUAAUAUAUUUUUACUUUAUGAAAUAAAUGGAUAAUUUUACACUUAGUUCUUAAUUUACCCUUAUCGUUAAUUAUAGUAAUUUUUGUAUUACAUUUUUCAAGAUAUUAUAUUUAUUAUAUUUAAAGGGUAAAAUAGUAAAAUUAUCCUUCUAUUUAUAGUUUCUUAAGAAGUGUGCAAAGUGAAUAAUGAACAAGUACUGUUGGAAAAAUAGAGUAUUAUCUUUUAAUUUAAAUUAAAUGACACUUAUCUUUUAAGUUUAUUGUAAAAAUUUGUCAUAUUCCUGUAAUAAAAAAUAGUUUAUUUUUAAGUUUUUUUAUUUACCUUUUAAGAAAAAAAUUAUAAUCACUCAAAUGAUCAGUUUUUUUAAUUUUUUUUUUUUAAUGAUAAGUCAAAUGGUAUGAUAGAAUUUGAGAUGGAGAGUAUUAAUAGUUUAUUAGUGAAAAAAAAAAAUGAAUGUUUAAAUCACAUGACUAAUGGCUUGAGGCGCGGCUCUUAUCAUUUAAACAAAUAGUUGCAUGAUGUGGCGUGUUCUUCUUUAACUUUCACAGGGUGUGUUUGGUAUAUGUGGAAAAUAUUUUUCAAAAAAUGUACUUAAAAAUAGAAGAAAAUGACUUUCUUAAUUAAUAAAAGUAAGAAAAAUAAGUUAUAUGAGUGACAUAAAUAAGUUAAUUCCAUAUGAAUGAGAAAAACUCCACGGUGAUGCUAUAUUUUAUAUUAUAUUAUAUUCUCUCUUUGUUCUAUCCUAUAUGUAUUUCUUUUCGCUACAAUGAAUUAGCGGCCGAUAAAUUUUAUAGAUAAACAAAUAAAAAUUUCAAGAUGAUCUUUUUAGCUACGAUUAGCAAUGAAUUCCAAGAAAAUCCAAUUAGAAAGAAGUUAUUUAACAACCAAUAAGCUGGGGGGUGGACCGGUAGAAAUGUGGUGGUGUUUGAGUGAAUUUUCAUUUCGUAUAAAAAUGUAUAAAACAAAACUUAAUACGUUUUUAUACACUAUUUAUACAUUAUAGAAUGAAUAUAUAAGGUGGCCUGAAAUCUGAAUACACUAAAAAUAACGUAUAAGAGGUGUGUAUAUUCGCUUAGUUAUUAUAAUAUAUAUAUAUAUAUAUAUAUAAAAGGUGGCCUACAUACACUAGAAAUAACAUAUAAACAUACGUUUACGCACUAUUAACGUUAUAUUUAUAAGGUGGCCUAAAUACACCAAAAAUAACAUAUAAGAGGUGUGUAUAUACGUUUUCGCAGUAUUUUAUAUAUAUAUAUAUAUAUAUAUAUAUAUAAUGUUGAAAUUUUAGUCUGUGAGGGAUUGACAAUUGGUUCUUCAUCUUUUCUUUUUUCGGAUCUGAGUUUUGUUCCUUUUUGAAUUAUUGUAGAUUCUUCAUUGUGAUUGUUAUAAGAAUACUGGAUCUAGUAUAUUUUUCGUUGCAGGUUUAUGGGUAGGCCUUUAUUUUUUAAAUUUAAAGUAUGAACUACGGUUGCUUUUUUUGCUUUAAUACAUAAUAUCGUGUUUCUUGUGUGUUUAAUAAGAAAUUGUUGAAAUUAAAGUCAAGUUCAUAUAUAGAAAUUAAAAUAACUCCUAGUUGUUCGCUGUCUUUUUUGUUUUCAUGUUUCAACUAUAACAUACAUCUUCUCUAAGUUAAGAUAUUUGUUUCAAUUUAUUUGAAUUUUUUUUAAAAAUUUGUUUCAAAAGAAUAUUUCUUUUCUCUAUUGCAACUUUUUAAUUGUAACUUAACAUAUUUAAAAUCACAAGAUUAAGAGCAUGUUUGGCAUUGCUGUUGGGAGGGCCAGAAGUGUUUUUUUUUUUAGAAAAAAAACACUUAUUUUGAGAAAUUAAGUGUUUGACAAAUUCUUAAAACUGCUUUUAAAUGGAAGCAAAAACAGUUUUUCUGCGGUUGGAAAGAAGCUAAAAAUUUCUAUUUUAAAAAAAAAGCAGAAGCAGAAAUAGAAAAUUAAUUAUUUAAACUAAAAUAUUCCUUACAUAUAUACAUAUUUAUCAAUAUAUCUCUUAUUAAUUUUUUUACUUUUAUAUAAUAUUUUUUUAUUUAUUUAUGUUUUAUAUUAUUAUUUAUUAUAUUAUAUUGUAUAUAUUACUUUAUGUACAUAUUAGAAAUAAAAGUAACAACAAUAUUUUUGUUGGAUUAAAAAUGAGAAAAAAUAACAAUUAAAGAUUUAGACCCUCCCAAAAAAGUAAGAAUAACAAAAUUUUUUUCUUAAUUGACGUAUUAUUUUAUUUUAGAUUGAAUUUUUAAAACUUUAGAGUAUUAUAACAAAAAAAAGAAGAGGAUAAUAGCUAAGAUUGAAUCCAAAAAAUAGGUAAUAAAUAACAAAUAGAUUCUUCUUUUAAAAAAAAAUCAACAAUAUUUAUCUAUGUGCAAUACUAAUUGAAAAUUUGAAUAUUUACAUUUCAAAUAAUUAAAUUAAAAAUGUAAUUAAAGUUUUCGUAAUUUGACUAUCAAAAACACUUUUUAAAGAAAAUUAGCCAAACACAAAUUGCUUAUCAAAAACACUUUUCAAAUGAAUUUGCCAAACACAAAUUGCAUUUUUUGGAAAACAUUUUUCUGAAAAGCUAUUUUGAAAAAAACGCUUCUAAAAAUAAGCAUUUUUAAAUAGCAAUGCCAAACAGGCUCUAAAUGUCAGUUUGAUACAUUCUAGAUUCUAGGUAUCUUUAGUUUAGGAAUACAAGAUUAAAAAAUUCUUUACUUUUUUAAACUCCAUACAAAAUCAAAAUCAGAACGAAUUAAAACCAAAGAAAUAGCUAAUGUAUAUGACUUUUGUGAAAAUUAUUUUACAAAUAAAAGGAAAAAGUUUACUAAUUUAUUGUUUCACCCUAAUCUCAUCACAUGAUUAUUAAAUAAUCCAAUAGAGUCUACUAACAAGUAACCUUUGAAUUCUUUAAUUAAUUUUCUUCCAUAAAUUGCAGACUAUUCAACUCUUUUUUCCUAUUUAAACCAAUCCAAACUAUUCCUUAAUUCUCACCAAAGCACAAAAAUGGGAUACUCCAAUAUUGCCUUAUUAAUUGUUUGUUUAUUACCUUUGCUAUAUUUCCCUCUAUAUCCGAAGCUCAAAAUUCUCCCCAAGAUUAUCUUAACGCUCACAAUGCAGCUCGUAGACAAGUUGGUGUCGGCCCUAUGACAUGGGACAACAGACUAGCUACCUUUGCUCAAAAUUAUGCCAAUCAAAGAAUUGGGGACUGCAGGCUGCAGCAGUCAGGUGGCCCCUAUGGCAAAAACCUAGCCUCCGCUUUCCCCCAGCUCAACGCGGUGGUGCCGUGAAGACGUGGGUCGAUGAGAAGCUAUGGUACUACAAUUAUAUUUUGAAUAUUUUUGUACCGGGAAAAGUAUGUAGACACAAUACUCAAGUAGUAUGGCGUAAUUCAGUACGUCUUGGUUGUGCUCAGGUCAGGUGCAAUAACGGGUGGUAUUUUAUAGCUUGCAAUUAUGAUCCACCAGGUAAUUGGAGAGGCCAACGUCCAUACGGUGAUCUUGAAGAGCAACCAGCAAACUAAUUUGAUUCCAAGUUGGAACUUCCAACUGAAUAAAUUAAGCUUUAUGUGUUAAUUAAUUAAGGAAAAUAAGUCCAGUAGUACGAUGCUGUGCAUGAAUUAAUUUACUUUGAUUUAGUAGAUAAGUUUAUCAUUAUUUCUUUAUUUAGUGUUCUCUUGAAGAUUUUUCAACAAAUGAACAUGAAUUAAUUUACUUUGAUUGACUAAUUUGAUUAAUGAACAUAAAUUAUUUGCUUAGUUUUUCUAUAUUGGUCAAAUUUAUUCUUUCAAGGCUAACAACUUUCAAAGGGUAAAUAGGAAGAAUAGUGUCAAUAUUAUGUAUUAGCUUUGUGAAAUGACAAAUAUUAAGGAACGUCUAUUUUACUAAGGACGAAAUGUAAAUAGAAACGGAUAGAUUAAUUAUAGACCGACAAAAAGUGAUUUUGAACUUUUCAAAUAAAAUUAAUUAGUUGACAUGUAAUUCCCUUUUGAACGUUUCUUGAAAAAUCAACGAAUAAGAAGUAUUUUAUUCAAUCUUUUGUUUUACUAAUUACUAUUAAUUACCUCUCUCUCUUCAAUGAGUAGACACCCAAUUUUUAAAAAUAAGAUUAAGCUAAUUUUAUUGAAAUUUGAACAAUAAUCACUUGUUUGAUAUGUCUUCAAAUUUAUAGUUUUUAAGAUAUUACUGUAUCAAAAAUGAUUUUUAGCAAUAAUUAAUUAAUGAUAAUAGAUUAAUUACAACUAAAAAUAUAUUUUUAGCAUCAAUUAGUGCUCUUUGUAAAUUUUCCUAAAGCAUUUAGCGACAUUGAAUCCAAUGACAAUUAAUUAAUGCUGGUAAAGACUUUAGCCCUCUUUGUUAUUGUGUAUAUCUAUUAUCGCUUAUAAAAGGUGUUUUUAUUGUAAUGUAUGUAUUAAUAUUGGUUACUUUCAAGAACACUUAGUAUAAGGGGUAAAAUGGGAUAAAAUCAAGUAAUUUUAUCUUAAUUUUAUAAAAUGACAAGUACUCUCUAUGAUUCAUUUUACUUGUCAUAUACUCCAUUUCUUUUGCUCGCCAACAUUAAUUAGAUUUGAUCAUUUAGUUGAUACCACUCUCUUUUUUACCACAUUAAUCUUUCUCCCUACUUUAUUACUAUUAGAUCAGGGUAAAAGUAAAACCAACAAUUAAUUAUAUCUUAAAUUUCUAAAAUAACAAUUAUUUUGGAUAAAUUAUUUUUACUAAUCACGAUAACUAAAAUGGAUAGAAUUAAGAAAGAUUUUAAGACAAAUAUUUUUAAAGUAUAACAUGUGAAAUACCUACUUUUAUGGGUGUUUGGAUUGACUUAAAAGUUGGUGAAAUAUACUUUUAAGUCAGUUUUUGACUUUUGGAAGUGUUUGACAAAUAUAAAAAUAACUUUAAACAAGUCAAAAAUGACUUAAAAUAAGUUAGAAAAUGUUUGACAAGAUUAAAAAGUGUAAAUAUCAUAUAUGACAUAUAUUAUAGUACUAUUUUCAAGCUAUAACAGUAGAUUUAGACUUUCAAGCUAUAGCAUUAAAAAUUUCAGGUUAUAACAAAAUUCACAAAAAAAAAAGAAAUGUUUUUAUUAAUUGGAAAAAUCUUUAAAAAAAAUAAAAAGAUAAACGAAAGUUUUAAAAAAACGGAAUUAAAAAUAAUAAAGAAAAAAACUGAAAUUGUGGCCUGUAAUUUAAUUUGAACUUAUUAUGGAUAAUUAAUGAUUAGCAUGAAAUAAGGAAUCCAAACAAAUUAACAAUUUUUUUUAUCCUUAAUGAUUAGCAUGAAAUAAGGGAUCCAAACAAAUUAACAAUUUUUUUUUAUCCUUAAUGAUUAGCAUGAAAUAAGGAAUCCAAACAAAUUAACAAUUUUUUUUAUCCUUAAUGAUUAGCAUGAAAUAAGGAAUCCAAACAAAUUAACAAUAUUUUUUAUCCUUAAUUCACUCAAAAUCAGUUAAAUUAAAAUAAAAAAUCAGAUCAUAUCCUUUUUUUCUUCAACGUUUCUCUCUCUUAAUUCUGCAGCCUAAAAAAUUACCAGAAUCGAGUAAUUGAAGGUUUUUUCAUUGAAAAAAAAUUGAUUUUAUUGAGAUGAACAAUUACGUAUCAAUUCUAAUUAAACAUGGUGGAAGAUGGGAUCAUUUGGGUUAGUAUUUAUUAUUGUUUAGUGUUGUUUUUAAAUUACAUUGAAAUGGGAAAAAAAUAUUAAACUGUAAAUCGUCUCUAUGUUUAAGAUAAUAUCAUUACUUGUUAACUGUUGUGAAAUGUAUAAUAUUUGUGAUUUUCUGUUUUUAUGAUUGUUUUGUGUAUUUUUUUCUUAAAGUAUAAAGUAAUUGUAUAUUAGAAUAAUGAAUUUAAUAGAAUUAUUGGAAAGAAAUUUGUAAGAAAAUGUGUUUCGUAAUAUGUAAAAAAAGUCAUUUGGAUUUUUGACGAAUUGUAUAACAAGUGUUUUAAGUUGGUAUUAAAUUAUAAAUUUUAGUGUGUUAUAUUAUUGGGNNNNNNNNNNNNNNNNNNNNNNNNNNNNNNNNNNNNNNNNNNNNNNNNNNNNNNNNNNNNNNNNNNNNNNNNNNNNNNNNNNNNNNNNNNNNNNNNNNNNNNNNNNNNNNNNNNNNNNNNNNNNNNNNNNNNNNNNNNNNNNNNNNNNNNNNNNNNNNNNNNNNNNNNNNNNNNNNNNNNNNNNNNNNNNNNNNNNNNNNNNNNNNNNNNNNNNNNNNNNNNNNNNNNNNNNNNNNNNNNNNNNNNNNNNNNNNNNNNNNNGAAAAAAAAGUUAUUUGAAAUUUUGACGAAUUGUAUGAUAAGUGUUUUAAGGUUGUAUUAAUUUUGAAAUUUUAUUGUUGACAUUUUUGUAUAAAUUUGUGUGACAUUAAUGAAGUAUUUUCGUAAAAAAAAUGUACAUAUUUGAUGUAUGAAAUUUGUAUUAAAAUAGUAUGAAAGUGUUUGAAAUGUACUAUUUGAAUGAUAUUUGUAUGAAAUGUUUUUUGAUUGAAUAUAAAAAUUAUUUUGUAAUGUUCUAUCUGUCUGAAUGAUAUUUGUAUUUCGAAUUGUUUGUUUAUAAUGUGAGAUUAAUUUAUAUUUUUUUUAAUGAAACAGGAAAUUAUGUCGAUUUUCAAAUGUAGGGGUUAUAUACGAUUCUUCUAGUCUUUAUAGUGGUCUAGUAGGUGCGAUAACAUUGCAACUUAUGAUUGUUGACACCCAAUUUUGACCCUCCCCGAUAAUAAUUAAUUUCUGAGUUUCUUAAUUUUCAAAUGAUUUAAAAUAAUUGACUUUAUAAAAUUUAAAAUAUUUUUCAAGUUAGUUUAAAUGGUUUGUCACUUUUAUAAUUUUCAAAUAAUAUGUGUAUACUUUUGAACUUUAUAAAUAUUACAAAAAUCGUCUACAAAAUAUUUUGUUUAAUUAAAUAUUUGGUUAGUUUGUUUAGUUAUUUAGUAGUUUGCUAUUUUGAGUUAAUUAGUUAGUUUAUAAUUAAGUUAAUUAUUAUAUAAUUAUGUGUCUAAUUAGUAUAUUUUAUGAAGGUUCUAAAAUUGUCUCAAAAAGAUUUUAGCUUUAUUUAAACAUUUGGUUAUUUAGUCGUUUAUAUUGUUAAAUUAAUUAGUUUAUAAUUAAAUUAAUUAUUUUAUUUCGUUAAGAUUAAGAAGCUCGUUAAUUAAUUAAUAUUAAUUCGUCUUAUUUAUUAUUAGCCAAGUUUAUUAAAUUUGAUCAAGUUGGCUAAGUCUUAAAUUUAAAUUGCCUACCACAAUAAUUCCUAGCCAACCCAAUAUUAUAAUUCCUCCCAGCCCAUUCCAACCAAGUAACCCAACAUACCCGGCCCAUCCUCCUUUAAUCCAUAACCUGACUCAUUUCCAAUUCACAAUUGAAACCCAAAAUUUCUCCAAACGUUCUUAAUUCCAAGUGGCGUGAAAACGACGACAAUGAUGGCCAGCUACACGACGUGAGACGAGCAGCAACUCAGUACUGUACCAGCAGUACUGUUCCAGCAGUCGGAGCAGGCACGCGGCUGUGCCCAUUUCCUCUUCCGGAAUGGGGAAAAAUUUGAGGGAAAAGGUGUCUAGCUCGAAUGGUGAAAGGAAUUAGGAUUUUGAAUUUAAAAAAAAAAUAGGCCUUAUUCUUGUGAAUUUGAUCCGUUUCCCCCUUAAGUUUGGAACCCUAAUAUUUCCCCUAUAUAUACUUCAUCUCCUUCAUUGUGAAAAGGGGGGCGGAAAAAAAAAAUAAAAAAAAAUAAAAUUUUGAGUUAGAAAAAAUAUAGAGAAUUUGCUAGUAUUAGAAAGGAAGAAAUACACCCAAAUCAUAUAGUUCCUAAAAUCACAGAAAGACUUCCUGUUCUUUCUUGCUUCUUCUUUGUUCGUUGGAGUUCUUGGAUUUACAUUCUAGUGGCAGUGAAGUCAUUUCCUUGCUCGCUCUGGUCUCAGUUUCGCUGCGCCAAAGAAGGUACUCGUCCCUUUGCUCUUUCGCUGUCCCUUUGAUUAUUUCGAGUUAAUAGUGAUUAGGCAGCUACGUGGAAUAGUAGAAUGCUGUUGGAUUAGUUUCUUGGAUUCGACAUGAGCCCGUCUUGUUUCGAAAAUAGUCGAGUCUCUGUUUUUGUUCUACCCUGAAUGGUUUAAAACUUAUUUGGAUUUUGAUAUUGAGCUUGUCUGUUGUGCGGCCUAAAUCAUUUAUUGUGAGUUUUAUCUUCUGUGUAGUUUUGGUCUUCGAUCGCUUCUCUAUUUGACUCGUAGCUAUAGAUUUCUGCUAAUGUUAACUUAUUAUCAUGUCAAGAGUAAGUCUGAGCUUUGUUGUCUUUUGCGAGCCUGGGUGUUGUCCUUAUUUGUUCAUUAUUUUGCUUUUCAUAAUAUUGUAUUGAGCUGGUAGUUUCUUCUAAUAUUUUGACCGAUUGUCUCAUAUUAUGCACUGCUUGAUUAAUAUAGGCAUGUCUUGUUUUUUUUUUCUUUUUGCCAUAAUUCUAUUCUAUCAAAAAUGGUUUCUUAAGCUUGAGUUUAGAUUCUUUUAAUUUGAUUAGAGCCUUUUGUUAAUAUCAAGUGUAGUAAAAAUAAUAAUAUAUAUAUAUAGAGAGAGAGAGAUUUGUUAGUGAGCAUGCUUAUUAAGACUUAGUUAAAAUUAAGAGUUUUUCAUUAUCAAUUCUGGACACUAUCUCGUUUAUGCUUUUCUUUUUAUUUAUUUAUCCAUUUAUAUUUGAUGUAGCAUAGUUUAUUGGCAUUUUUAAACUAUGUCCCUCCUUUGAUAUCUUUACACUCUUAUAGUAUACAUGUUUUGUAGUUUAGUGUUCAUUUAGUAAUAUUUCCUUCAAGAUUUCAAUUUAUUUUCUACAUGUAUACCGAGUCAUUGUGGGUCCACUGAUGCAUAAUGCUUGUAAGCUUUAAAAUCUAUCAUAAUGCUCUAUUUUAAUAUAUAUAUAAAUUAUUAUUUUUGCUUUAAGAAAGGGAUUAAUGAGCUAUACUUAUAUAUUUUAUUCAUUUGUGUUGCAUGUGACAUUCGUUAUGAGUCCUCACGGACUCUUUCCAUCGCCAAUUGCAUUGACGAGUUCUAUGUUCAAAUCCUUUCCUUUCAAGUUGGCCAGCCAAAUGGAAUCAAAGAACAAGUCCCCGGAGAUCGAUUGCAUACACUAGUAUACACCUAGUGUAUACGGAAAGGGGCCUAAAGGCCCCAUAUUCAGUUUUGUAUUUUGUUGUUUUGGGCCUAAGCUCUUAUUAUUUAAUUUUGUUAUUACUCCGUUAGAAUUUUAGGACAGGUGAAAAAUCGGGCCUAAGGCCCAAAGAGAAAUACUUCUUUAACGUUAGUACAGGACAGGUGCAGGUGACUCAAAUGGGCCGAAGGCCCAAUAUGAAAAUGGGCCCAAAUACUGGCCCAGGCGGACAGAAAAUCCAGACUUGGGCCCAAAUCUUCUUUCCUUAUCUAUUUAUUUGCUAUAACAUGUUUUUAUGUGCUUAUUUAAUCUUAAGGUUCCCUAAUCAAUGCCCCAAAGGAUACCCAUUCUGAAUUAAUCGCUUAAACUAAAGUAUUCAUUCUUUACUUGACUUAACAAAUAAAUGAACAAAUAAAUAAGUUUUACAAAAUAUUUCGCUUAGAUAAUAUUUCAAUAAUUUUCUUUUUAAAAUAGUUUUAACUACAAAAUAGUUCAAUUUUGCAAUUCAAACUAAGUUACAGUUAAUUUAGCCAAAUAAGUAAUCGUCGGAUAACCGCAUUAGCGGGUGUUCUAGGUGCUUUAAAACCCUUCCUAGAACACUAAUAUGGACCCUCGAACCCUUUUCAAGUUUUCACUAGAUUCCUGUUUUAGUCUUGUGAAAAUAAAUAGUUUUCUUGAUUUUUCUUAAAAAUUAAGUAGCGACUCUAAACCAGUCUAAAAAUAUUUUCCAAAUAAAACAAUGAUAGAUACUAAUAUAAAUGAUUUAGAGAUAUUAAGUGGGUAUGAAAUCUAUUUUGUAGAGUACUGUCUGAAUGAUAUUUGUAUGAAAAGAUAAUGACAAGUGUGUAUAAUUUUGUUAUUAUAAUGAAUUUUGUGGAUGAAAUUUGUAUGUUCUUUGAAUGACUAAUUGUUAUUUUUUAAUGAAACAGGAAAAUAUGUUGAUUUUCAGAUGGAGGGGAUUAUAUAUGAAUGUUCUAGUCUUUAUAGUGGUAUAGUAAGUGCGAUAACAUCGCUGCUUAUGAUAGAUAGUGAUAUUAAUGAUAUAGAGAUAAAAUAUAUACUUAAAAAAUCAUUAAGUAGUCCACAUUUAAGACCAGUUAUCGUUGCGAAUUCCUUGAUUCCAAAACGUAAUUCUGUACCAUUUAUUUUCACAACAAACAUGUCGUCUCUGACAUUUUCAGAUUCAAGAAUCAUCAAAUGCCGCAAUAGUUGACAUUGAAUCUUUAUGUUGUGCAUGUCAUAAAAUACACGAAAAGGUGUUUGUUCCAGAAAUUGUUGAAACCUCUCUUGCUCGAGGAAAACCAACAGAUCAACAAACACAUUCAUGUUUGUACAUGAAGACCAGUGUGUGUAUCUUCCUUGCCUAUAAAAUAAAAUUAUUUAUACUAAAUUAAAACAUACUUCAUACAAGUAUUAUUCAAGUUUCAUUCCAGUUGUAACUACAGUUUAAAGAUAGUUAUAAUUAAAUUAUAUCAUAUAAAUUAAAUAAAAAAUAAAUCAAAAUCAUAAAAACAUUGAUAAAAAAAAUAUAAAAGUAUGUUCACACAAGUAUUAUUCAUGUUUCAUCACAUGCAUAUAGAUAAAUUUUAGUAAUGCCUUAUACCAUAUUUAUAAAAAAAUUCACACCAAUUUUAUUCGAACAUCAUACCAUUUUCAUGUGCACUAUGGCAUUCAUCAAUCGACUUUCAUAAAUUUAUCGACAUACGCUAAAAAUAAUUUAACAAUUUUAAUACAUUAAUGGAUAAAUUGACAAAGAAACCUUCUAAAUAGGAAAAAUCCCAAUUUCAUAUAAAAGUUAUUCAAAAUUUAUACAAAAACAGAGUAAUUAAAUAAUUCAUACAAAUUGCAUACCUAGUUAAUAAUUCAUACCAUACACAAUGAAGAGACAAUCACAUCAAUGUUAAUAUACAAUUCAUACCAUUUGCAUAUCAAUAUUGUAUCAAAAUUCAUACAAUAUCCAUCAAUCAAACAUUAAAUUCAGAUUCAUACACAUUUUUUCAGAUUUCGAACAAUUUUUACACAAACAAGUAUUUCGAAAACAACAAUAAGCAUAAUGUGAUAUAAAAAAAAUCACUAUUUUGACUAAUGUGAAAAUAAAUUAAAUAUAGUACUUAUCCUAACAACUUUUUUUGUGUUUUUUGGAUGUUGAUAUUUUUGAUUUCUUUUUUUUUUUGUUCUUCUUGUUGAUGGUUUUGAAGAUUGAGCAACUUCUACAUUUGUUGUUUUUUUUUUAUCUUUUUCUUUUUGAUUUCACUAGCAAAAUCAGAAUCGUAAUCAAAAGGGGUUUCAAUAAUUUUCCCCUUCCUCUUCUUCCCCUUUUGAUUUGCCUGGAUCGCCCUUUUCUUUGCUUCAUCUUUUUUCUCUUUUCGAUCCUUCAACUGAGAUGAACCACCCGUUGCCUGAUUUUCAAUAUUCGCUGGAUUUUCAACAAAUUUAAAGAAGGGGGGGGAUUGAGUUAAUAUAUUGAAAGUUGGAGCAUGAACUUCAUCAGUAGAAGUUCCUUCAACCAAUCUGGAACUCUUUCAAGGCGUUUCAAUGGGUUUCUUAGACAUGAUUUUGUUGAAAAACUUAAUUGGACGGACGAUUGUGAAAAUGGUGUAAUUGGCUGGUGAGAAAAAUGGGAGAGACAAGGUGAAAGUGGGGCAGUGGGGGUGAUGGCGUGUAGAUUUGAAUAGGUGUGGGUGGAGGGUGUUCGGAUUGAGGUAUAGGAGGUUUGGAGUGUAACAUUAAACAAGGAAGUCUAAUCUAUGUAAAUCCCUUAUUAUGUGUAACUGAUGAUUUCAGUUUUAAAAAAGGAAUUGAAAUCAAAUUCAUUAAAUAUUAUUAAUUAAUAAUAUAAAAAUAUAAACAGAUUAAUCAUUUAUUAAAUAAAUUGAAAUUGAUUUUUAAAUUAAAUUGAUAUGUCAUAGCCCGUAAAUAAACUGUUAUAAGUAAGAAUUGUUUAAAAGUAUGUUUAAAACCCGUAAAAUUUACUACUUAGUUAUAAAUGACCCAAAAGUAGGCUUCCGACUACUUUUUAUUUUUUUGACUUAAAAGUCAUUUAAAUUUGACUUUUUAUUUUUUACUUGAAAACUAUUUUUUAAAGCCAAUCCAACAUAGGCUCUAACUCUUUGCCCUUUUACUUCUUCUAAAUUCUGGGUUUGAGUCAAUUUUAUGAUAAUAUAUAUCAGGGGAAACUAUAUAAAUGUGCCACAAAAUAAUUACAACUUCAUAGUUCAAUUCAAACUAAUUCAGCAAAUACCCAUUAAUAAAAAAAUAAAGGGAAAAUUGUAUGAAAUAACAAACUAUUAAUUAAAAUUAAAUGCUAUAGCCAUUGUUUCUUUUAUUUAUAAUUCGCAGCAAACAUUCCAUGUUUUUUGUCAUUCCAUUUGUAUACCGAAAUAUACAAAUAAAGGACCCAUUUGUAUACCGAAAUAUAUACAAAUGCAGGACCCAUUUGUAUACCAAAAUAUACAAAUAGACUGAAAUAUACAAAUGCAAGAUCCAUUUGUAUACCAAAAUAUACAAAUGCAUGACCCAUUUGUAUACCAAAAUAUACAAAUGCAUGACCCAUUUGUAUACCAAAAUAUACAAAUGCAUGACCCAUUUGUAUACCAAAAUAUACAAAUGCAUGACCCAUUUGUAUACCAAAAUAUACGGACCCAUUUGUAUACAUAAAUAUUCAAAUAGACUCAAAUACAUAUUUUUUAUGUAAAUGUAUACCGAAAUAUACAGAUUAAUAGUAAUAACAAAUAUAAAGUUUGCUAUGGAGCACAAUUAUACAAACUAUAACUAUAACAUACAAAUAUAUUUUUUAUAUUUGUUAAACCUAAAAUUUACUCAAAAAUAAAUUACAGUCCAUACCGCCACUUUAGUUUAGGCCGAAUAUACUCCCUCUUUGGUUUAGGUCGAAUGUGUGCGGUUUCCUUUAAAUUUAGGCGUAAUUUUAACCUAACGUUUUAUUAAUUAUUUUAUUUUCUCUUUUAUUUUUUUCUCAUUUAUUAUUUUUAUUCUUUUUUCCAUAUUAUCCUUUAUUAGAGAUACUCUUGGGUAAUAGUUUUUUAUUUCUUUCUUCCCUUUUUUGGGUUAGUUUAUCGUCUUUUUAUUUUUUUCUUUCUUUCUAUAUUUUUACCUUUUUUAUGGAAAUAAAAUAAAUUACUUUUGUCCUUUUCUUAUUUAUUAUUUUUAUUUACUCUUUUAUUCUUUUAUUCUUUUUUUCAUAUUAUCCUUUAUUCUCUUGAUUUCUGCUUAGGAAUAUCAAAUGCGAAUUGUUCGCAAAAUUUUCCUAAUUGUUGUCUUUCAUUUAGACGAUGUUUCUUGAUCUGUUGAUUCACAAUUUUACAGAUAGUAUUGUACAUCAACAUUCUAUGGACAUUUGUAUAAAUAUGUCUAUCAGUAUAACCAUCUAUGUUUCCUUCAUAGAUCUCCUUGCCAUUAUAACUAUUAGUUAUAAUAUUAUCCUUUAUUAGAGAUACCAUUUGAUAAUAUUUUUAUAUUUAUUUCUUCGUUCUCCUUUUUAUUUAUUUUCCUUAAUAUAUAGUACAAAUAUUUUGGCCAGUACAUUAUUCUUUAUCCAUUUUAUGUACAUUAAGCAAUACGUGAAGUAACUCCUGAUCUAUGAGUAAAAGUAAUAUCGAUGUGCAAGUGAAAUAAUAUUGUGUUCCAUCUACUUUCGAUUAAAAAUAUGAGGACAUCCAUCAAAGAUAAUGAGAAAUAGUAUACCAUGAUAAUUCGAUGUAUUUUACUUUUUAAACCGUUGAAAAAAAAUAACAUAUUUCUUUAAUAAGAAAUAACUUAUCUUUGAAAAGUUUCUUUUAUCCCUAAUAAUAAAAGAAUUUAUAGUCGCGUAAGUGGUAAGAAAAGGUUUAUUGUUUUUGUUAAAUUUAUGGUAAUGACUCUAGGCGGCUCUUAUCAUUUAAAAAUGAUAGUUGUAUGAUGUGACAUGCUAUUCUUAGACUUUCACAACCUCUAAUUAAUUUCAUUUGUUUUUCAAAUAAUUCGAUAGAGUCUGCUAACAAGUUUUAUAUAAUCUUUCAAUUCUCUAAUUUCUUCCACAAAAUUGCAGACUAUUCAACUCUUAUUCCCUAUUUAAACCCAUCCAACUAUUCUUUGAUUCUCACCAAAACACAAAAUGGAAUCCUUAAUUAUUUGUUUCCUUACCUUUGCUUUAUUAUUUCACUCAUCAAAAGCUCAAAACUCUCCCCAAGAUUAUCUUAACCCUCACAAUGAAGCUCGAAGACAAGUUGGUGUCGGUCCUAUGGCAUGGGACAAUAGGCUAGCAGCCUUUGCCCAAAAUUAUGCCAAUCAAAGAAUUGGGGACUGUAGGAUGCAACACUCUGGUGGCCCUUACGGUGAAAACCUAGCUGCCGGUUUCCCCCAGCUCAACGCGGCUGGUGCAGUGAAGAUGUGGGUGGACGAGAAGCAAUGGUACGAUUAUAAUUCGAAUUCUUGUCAACCUGGUAAAGUAUGUGGCCACUAUACUCAAGUAGUCUGGCGUAACUCA
rnacentral:lncRNA from 1 species